rnacentral:rRNA from 1 species
CCAAUAGCGUAUAUUAAAGUUGUUGCAGUUAAAAAGCUCGUAGUUGAAUUUCGGGAUUGACGUGAUGGUCGUGCCUUAAGGGGUAUGAACUGUCGCAGUUGAUUUCUCACCUUCUGGAGAAGCUUGAUGUCCUUAAUUGGGUGUCAUGUGGAACCAGGACCUUUACCUUGAAAAAAUUAGAGUGUUUAAAGCAGGCAUUUUGCUCGAAUACAUUAGCAUGGAAUAAUAGAAUAGGACGGCAUGGUUCUAUUUUGUUGGUUUCUAGGAUCACCGUAAUGAUUAAUAGGGAUAGUUGGGGGCAUUAGUAUUCAAUUGUCAGAGGUGAAAUUCUUGGAUUUAUUGAAGACUAACUACUACGAAAGCAUUUGCCAAGGAUGUUUUCAUUAAUCAAGAACGAAAGUUAGGGGAUCGAAGACGAUCAGAUACCGUCGUAGUCUUAACCAUAAACUAUGCCGACUAGGAAUCAGACGAUGUUAAUUUUUUAAUGACUCGUUUGGCACCUUACG